GACGAACGCUGGCGGCGUGCUUAACACAUGCAAGUCGAACGGUGAAGCGCCUUCCUUUUUGGUGGGUGGGGAUGAGAGGCGAACGGGUGAGUAACACGUGAGUAACCUGCCCCCUUCUUCUGGAUAACCGCAUGAAAGUGUGGCUAAUACGGGAUAUUCUGGGUCUGUCGCAUGAUGGGUCUGGGAAAGAGAUUGGGGCGGGUGGGGAUGGGCUCGCGGCCGAUCAGCGGGUUGUGGGGGUGUUGGGCUACCAAGGCGGGGGAGGGUAGCCGGGCUGAGAGGGUCUGCGACACGGUUGGGACUGCGACGGGAGGCAGCAGUGGGGGGUAGUGAGCAAUGGGCGAAAGCCUGAUGCGGCGGGGCCGCGUGAGGGAUGGCGGCCUUCGGGUUGUGACCCUCUUUCGCUAGUGAAGCGGGCCUGCCUGGUUUGUGGGUGGGUUGACGGUAGCUGGAUAAGAAGCGCCGGCUAACUACGUG
rnacentral:rRNA from 1 species